rnacentral:rRNA from 1 species
GACGAACGCUGGCGGCGUGCCUAAUACAUGCAAGUCGAACGCAGUGGGGACGGGUGAGUAACACGUGGGUAACCUCCCAUCAGAGGGGAUAACCCUUGGCAACAGGCGCUAAACAGCUACUGAUGGAUGGACCCGCGGUGCAUUACCUAGUUGGUGAGGUAACGGCUCACCAAGGCCACGAUGCAUAGCCGACCGGAGAGGGUGAUCGGCCACACGGGGACUGAGACACGGCCCAGACUCCUACGGGAGGCAGCAGUAGGGAAUAUUCGGCAAUGGACGAAAGUCUGACCGAGCAACGCCGCGUGAGUGAAGAAGGUUUUCGGAUCGUAAAGCACUGUUAUUAGGGAAGCGGUACCUAAUCAGAAAGCCACGGCUAACUACGUGCCAGCAGCCGCGGUAAUUC